AGUGAACGCUGGCGGUAGGCCUAACACAUGCAAGUCGAACGGCAGCACAGUAAGAGCUUGCUCUUACGGGUGGCGAGUGGCGGACGGUUGAGGAAUACAUCGGAAUCUACUUUUUCGUGGGGGAUAACGUAGGGAAACUUACGCUAAUACCGCAUACGACCUACGGGUGAAAGCAGGGGAUCUUCGGACCUUGCGCGAUUGAAUGAGCCGAUGUCGGAUUAGCUAGUUGGCGGGGUAAAGGCCCACCAAGGCGACGAUCCGUAGAUGGUCUGAGAGGAUGAUCAGCCACACUGGAACUGAGACACGGCCCAGACUCCUACGGGAGGCAGCAGUGGGGAAUAUUGGACAAUGGGCGCAAGCCUGAUCCAGCCAUACCGCGUGGGUGAAGAAGGCCUUCGGGUUGUAAAGCCCUUUUGUUGGGAAAGAAAAGCAGCAGGUUAAUACCCCGCUGUUCUGACGGUACCCAAAGAAUAAGCACCGGCUAACUUCGUG
rnacentral:rRNA from 1 species